AGUAAAGCAAUAGGAUUCACAAGUCAGACAAGCCGCUGACUCAGUACAUGGCAGUGUCUGGCUAGCACUGUCUGAGGUUGGAAGCUAUGCUGAGAAACCUUCAGGCUAUUCUUACUGCUGUUGAUUAGUCAGGGAAACAGACAGAAGCAAAGUAUUAUUUCCAAGAAAACUAUAUGGAGAAUGGAAAUAUGUAUAGGACUUGGGAGGCUUUACUACUAAUUAUAUAAUCCAAUUUCAAACCAAAAGAUUAAUUAUUAUUAUCUCAUUUUUCCAUUCUAUAAGUGUCAGGUAAUUAGCAGUUCUCCAAUCAAGAUAUAAUUUUCAUUUUUCUAGGUAUUACACUAGGUAUUCUGCAGAUAUUUUCCUGAACCGACCGGCAAUUACAUACCAUUCUCCACAAUGCACUGCCUUUAACACUCCGACGGCAGCUGUAGUCUGUCGUUCAAACCCUUGUCCUAUGUGAUCUGCGUGUGCUCGCGUCCUGUCUUCAAAAAGCAUUUCACGAGGCUCGCUAGUACGAGCCUUCUUUAAGUCCCACACAUCAGGGGUCCCCAAUCCCUGGGCCACGGACCAGUAUCGGUCUGUGGCCUGUUUGGAACUGGGCCACACAGCAGGAGGUGAGCAAGGGGCAAGCGAGCCAGCUCCAUCCGUAUUUUGCAACCACUCCCAAGCGCUACCGUCACUGCUCCAGCUCCACCCGAGAUCAUCAGGCACUGGAUUUCUCAUAGGGGUGUGAACUCUACUGUAAACUGCACAUGCGACUUUGGCAUAUCUGCCACAGGAAUCAUUUGUUCUCCUGGACGUACCCACAUGAUGGGACCAUCAUCGCUGUCUUUCCGACUUUCUAGUUUAAGACUAGAAAGUGUCCCCCAUGGUGAGUCUUCCAACAUAUCAAGGAACUCUGGAAAAUAAUCCCCAACUUCUUCAUCUACUGCUCCAACCAAGCUGAUUUGUCUCAUCGGGCCAGCUCUGUAUGUACCAUGGGAAUAUGUUCUUUUUACCUGAACAAAAGCCAAUUAAAGUAAAAAAAGAAAGGACCAGUUUACUUUAUACUCAGCAUAAUGUGCAAAUUUUAAAUAUGUAAAAAUAUCCUAAAUAUUUUCUGAAACCCAAGCAGUACUUGGUAUUAAAUGUUGUUCACAAAACAAUAAACAUAAUUUUAGAUACA